AGAGUUUGAUCCUGGCUCAGAGCGAACGCUGGCGGCAGGCCUAACACAUGCAAGUCGCACGAGAAAGUGGAGCAAUCCAUGAGUAAAGUGGCGUACGGGUGAGUAACACGUGACUAACCUACCUUCGAGUGGGGAAUAACACCGGGAAACCGGUGCUAAGACCGCAUGAGUCCGAUGGCAUAGCGGCGAUCGGGGAAAUGCGCAAGCAGCCACGGGAGGGCCUUGCGGCGGAUUAGGUAGUUGGUGGGGUCGAAGCCUACCAAGCCGACGAUCCGUAGCUGGUCUGAGAGGACGACCAGCCACACCGGGACUGAGACACGGCCCGGACUCCUACGGGAGGCAGCAGUUAGGGAAUUUUCACAAUGGGCGCAAGCCUGAUCCAGCCAUGCCGCGUGGAUGAUGAAGGCCCUAGGGUUGUAAAGUCCUUUCGGCGGGGAAGAUAAUGACGGUACCCGCAGAAGAAGCCCCGGCUAACUUCGUGCCAGCAGCCGCGGUAAUACGAAGGGGGCUAGCGUUGCUCGGAAUCACUGGGCGUAAAGCGCACGUAGGCGGCUUUUUAAGUCAGGGGUGAAAUCCUGGAGCUCAACUCCAGAACUGCCUUUGAUACUGAAGAGCUAGAGUCCGGAAGAGGUGAGUGGAACUGCGAGUGUAGAGGUGAAAUUCGUAGAUAUUCGCAAGAAC
rnacentral:rRNA from 1 species